GUGCUACAUUCCUGUCUUUUCAUGAGCAUGUUAUCAGCCUACAUGUGCAAAAAACAAAAUCGAUUGGUAUUACACAGGGUUUACAAAUUAAAAAAGUCUUUUGUUAGACCAACAUGUAUUGUGUUUGUAAUCGUUCAGAACAAAAAAUAACUUAAUACUGAACUUCGAACAAAUGAUCGAGUACCUUAAAUCCUAAAUAGAAGAAAGCUCCCCGGUAUGCAAUGUCCGGGAGUUCGUAUGUGUAUAUUUUGGCCUCCUGAUGGAGGCGUUUCAUGAGUAGUCUUGUGUUGACCUUACUGCCUAAGUGCACUUUGCACUGUCAGGUGUUUUCUUUUGAUUCCUCUACUCCCUUAGAGCCUUUAUAGAUUCUUGUUGAAAUCUUAAUACGGAAGCAAAAACUGCUACUUUUAGUCAAUAAAUAAAUAAAUAGCAGAACAAAGCCAAUUUUGUAGUUCUAAACAUGUUUUGUUAGCAAUUUACCAACCUACUAUGGAUUGCCUCAAUGAUCUUCUUGUAGUCGAGAGCCACCAACUCACCACGGACCCAGGUCAUCUAACCGGCCGCCUUGCCAUUCCGCCACUAAAACAUAAGAACAUUUCUGAUUCCUUCUGCAGUGCAUCCAGUGUUAUGCAGGUAUCUCCCUUGAGGCUCCUCUUUCCCUUGUUGAGUUGUCCCAACUUCGAGUUCUGACUUAGCUGCCAAAUAAUGAACAUUUUAUUAGUUCCAACUAUAUCUUUUGUAACUAAUUAAAACAUGCACAACUUUCGCCCGUCAGCUCUAUAAAUUACAUUAAAAGUGGAAUAAUCAUAAUUACAAUUUCGCAAGUAAUCUAGCUGUUAUAGUGAACCUACGGGAAAGAUGGAAAUAAAUUUCAUCAAUGAUAAGGAUACUAAAGGUCUAUAUCUGUAUGGAUUUGUCCUGAACAAUUCUGAAUGGCAGAAAGAAAGCUAAUGUCGACAGGGAAAAAUUGGUAGAGUCAAGAUCAUAUGUUUUAAACAAAAACAACUCCAUGUAGCCCAGCAGCUGGAACAUCAAUGUAAUGAUCCAAUCAGAAGCCUGCAGUGAAUUACUAUGAACAAAUAGAAAUGGGUGUCUUCAUGCCUACCAAAAAUAACAUAAAAACGCUCUCCACCUCCCCAAACAAACCAUUGCUUCCACAACCACUUAUUUUUUCGCCACCUUGUUCCCAAAAAAUCCAACAAAAGCAUUAUCGAAAGAGAAUAACAUGUUAUGACGUGCUAACUGAAUUCCUACACUACUGUAGGAUGGUUGGCCUGGCGAAUUCAAGAGUUAAAAAGUGAUAGGGAAAAUAGAUUAUAAACAGUUAAGCUGAAUCGGUUAUGACCUUGAAGUUGAGAAGACCAUGUACAAUAUUUUUUCCGUUAAGAAACACUGUAGAUCAGCAUACAUUCUGGUCUACUGUAAAACUAAAACUAAACAUGUCAAUCGUUGCAAAGAUGGGAAAAUAUUGGCAGGUUAGUACAGUGAAGAGAGAUGAAAGAGGCGACUAAUAAGCUAGAAGGGGUGCAGCAGGGUGAAACGAAGAAGAGAGCAAAUCAACCACUUGCUUGACUUCCUUACCAUGUCCUUGGCUCCAUGUCCACCCAGUUCGUACUAUGCUUAGCCAGUGAUAGAAUGUAUUUCUGUCUGGGUGAGUUGAACUGAAACUCUGAAGCGGGCAUCGUUCUAAAACACUGCGUGUGUCUGUAUGUCCACAGAAAUUAGAGGGAGCGACAGAGAUUAUGAGGGUGUGCGCCUACGGACCCAAACUUACAGAGAAAACCCAAGACAGCAGGAAUGCUGAAGAGAUCAGAAGAUGGCGGGGCAAACACGGCGGCGUGUUGCCUCAUAGUGCACAUCCAUGUCUAACUCUCGGUCCUUCCUCUCCGUGUCCUCCUCCUCCUCUGCUGUCAGGGUCGUCGUCGUGAUCUGCCACAGAAAAAAAAUGAACACGUCGCUCGAUCAGUCAACAAUAGAGGGGAACCAUCGUGUCAGGGCCACUGUAGGGCGGCCGUCAGAAUGGAGGGCAAUGGAGGUUCCCCGCGUCGUCCUCUGCGUGGAAGACGCCUCGAUCCGCAGGGGCUCCGGGUGUGGGGACUGGCCAGGUUGGAGGAGAAGAGUAGGGGGG
rnacentral:lncRNA from 1 species